rnacentral:antisense_RNA from 14 species
AAUAACCAAAUAUAACGCUUGGGCUAAGGGUCAAGUUGGUAAUUUUUCUUACAUCUCCUCCCCCUGGGGCCCAAGUAUCGUAUACACCACCAAAAUAAAGAGCCUUGAGUACUAGAAGAAAAGCACCUAUACCUAACAAAAUUAAGUGAAUACCUAAAAUUGUAGUCAUUUUAUUUCUAUCUUUCCA